AUAGAGACUCAGAGCUGCAUAUCAAUAAGCGGAGGAAAAGAAACUAACUAGGAUUCCCUUAGUAAUGACGAGUGAAGCGGGAAGAUCUUACUCGCUUGCGCUAUUUUACCUACGCUUAGGAUGUUAUCUCUGUAGAGUCUGCAUAUCAAUAAGCGGAGGAAAAGAAACUAACUAGGAUUCCCUCAGUAACGGCGAGUGAAGCGGGAAGAGCUCAAGUUUGAAAUCUUCAAGGUUCUACCUUGACGAAUUGUAGUUUAAAGAAGUGUUUUCUGUUAGAUGAGUAGCAAAAGUUCCUUGGAAUGGGACAUCAUAGAGGGUGAGAAUCCCGUAUUUGACCAUUAUUUCCAGCUUUGUGAUACACUUUCAAAGAGUCGGAUUGUUUGGGAAUGCAGUCCAAAAUGGGUGGUAAAUUUCAUCUAAAGCUAAAUAUUGGCGAGAGACCGAUAGCGAACAAGUACCGUGAGGGAAAGAUGAAAAGAACUUUGAAAAGAGAGUUAAACAGUACGUGAAAUUGUCAAAAGGGAAGCGUUUGACACCAGUGUUGUUUUUCCGAAAAUCAAUUACGAAUGGCUUGAUUUUGUGUUGUAUUGACCUUAUCAGCUUUCUGCACUUUUUUUGAGUCUUUCUUAAUGCACUUUUUGGUUAACAAGUCAACAUCAAUUUCUUUUGUUGUAAAAGAGUAUUCGGAAGGUGGCUUUCUUUUCGGAGAAAGUGUUUAUAGCCCUAUACUUCUACAACCGGAGAGAUCGAGGUCUGCAGCGUAGAUCCUUCGGGGUUAGAUACAUUUGUGCUAAGUUAUAACUUUUCAUAGACAACUUGUUGACUAUGUUUAGUCAUGUAGCUUACUCGCUUAUGCUAUUUUACCUACGCUUAGGAUGUUGAUAGUCACAGCGUGUA
rnacentral:rRNA from 1 species